AUACGUAGGUGGCAAGCGUUAUCCGGAAUUAUUGGGCGUAAAGAGUGAGCAGGCGGUUAAUCAAGUCUGAGGUUAAAGCGUGGGGCUCAACCCCAUAAAGCCUUGGAAACUGAUUGACUAGAGUACGGGAGAAGUGAAGGGAACUCCAUGUGUAGCGGUGAAAUGCGCAGAUAUAUGGAAGAACACCAGUGGCGAAGGCGCUUCACUAGCCCGAAACUGACGCUCAGUCACGAAAGCGUGGGUAGCAAAUAGGAUUAGAUACCCUAGUAGUCCACGCUGUAAACGAUGACAACUAAAUAUUGCCGCGAGGCAGUGUUGAAGCUAACGCAUUAAGUUGUCCGCCUGGGGAGUACGGUCGCAAGACUGAAACUUAAAGGAAUUGACGGGG
rnacentral:rRNA from 1 species